rnacentral:lncRNA from 1 species
GGAUAAAACUGGUGUACAUGUUAAGUUAUAUUAAAGUAACUAUUUUUUUUUCUUUUAAAUGCCCAGGGAUGACUCCAUGUUCUUGUGAUGGAGGUGAUUCUGCUAGUGAUGAAGUGUCUGGUGUAUUAUAUAUGGAAAAUGAGAAACCCCCAAAAUAGUGAAACCUGGGAAAAGUGGGGUGAGAAGGAAAGCCAUACAUUGAGAGCAUUGAUCCUUUCCCAGUACACUCUUAGCCAGGAUAAAACAAACCCUGGGGAAGCGGUGUUCAUCAAAUCUAGAAAGUCAGUCUGGGAAGAGGCCAAAGCAUGAACUCUUCCAUAAACAAAUCCUUUCCAGAUACCAACCACUGACCCCAGGUCAGUGGGGUCUGCUCCAGUAAGAUAAAUCCCAGAGAUUGACUCCUGACCCUAGAUUCCCUCCCAUUUCGCCCAGUAAAACACCCCAAAUUCCUGAGUGCCCAAGCUGACAUGCUCAGUAAGUCACCUCUCAGUAUAACUUACAUAAGCCCAGUCCCUUCCUUUCUUCGUUUUCACCAGGAGAGUGGGUCAGUUCCUAUAGGUGUGUCCUGUUCCUGAAUAAAGGCUAAAUAAUCCAUGAAGUCGGCAUCCAGCCUGGUCUCUCUGUCUACAUUGUGUGUGUGUGUUUGUGUGUGGGGGUAUUCUAUUGACUGUGCCUUGGUCUUGUGUUCAGUACACGCUGGCCUCCCUAGGCCAGUCUUCAUGAGCACUGCUCAGAUCUUCCUCCUCUCUUAUUAGAAAGGAAGGUUACAGAGAGAGGGAGCUGGGUGCUUCUCUUUCCCCAGAAGGUUUGGCUCCCAACAUCUUGAGUGAUUCAUCCUUUGGAAAUAGUUUCUCUGAAUGUAGGGCUCAGGAAGGAUGGAGUUCUCUAGGGAUACUGGAAAAUGCCAUCUUUCUUCUCCUCAUGCUUUAAGCACUGAGGUGUGUGUGUGUGUGUGUGUGUGUGUGUGUGUGUGUGGUAUUAGAAAAAAUGAGAGAUUAACUGUGAUGCACUGGCAGUGUUUCUGGAGGAAAAAUAUCAUGAACUUGAAGAAAUAGUCUGAAAAUUCGCUGGGCUGUAGGUCAUGGUAAAUUUCAGGUGAGAGGCAGUACCGCUGCAGGGUCAACUAUCCCGUCUCCCCACUGCUCUCCCUGACUGAGGGCCCUUGUCCUGCAGGUGGUGUCAAGCCUCCCCUGCUUGGCCUCUUCCCUGAGAGCUGGCUCUCACCUGCUCUUACCCCUCCUGGCUGUCUCCAUUUCCCUCAUGCACUUAUUCACCUCACUCUGUGCCGGGCUCUCUGAGGUUGUAUUACUGCA